rnacentral:rRNA from 1 species
AUAGCAUGUCAGAAGGCAGACCCGGAGAACUGAAACAUCUUAGUACCCGGAGGAAGAGAAAGAAAAAUCGAUUCCCUGAGUAGCGGCGAGCGAAACGGGAAGAGCCCAAACCAACAAGCUUGCUUGUUGGGGUUGUAGGACACUCUAUACGGAGUUACAAAAGAACAUGUUAGACGAAUCAUCUGGAAAGAUGAAUCAAAGAAGGUAAUAAUCCUGUAGUCGAAAACAUAUUCUCUCUUGAGUGGAUCCUGAGUACGACGGAGCACGUGAAAUUCCGUCGGAAUCUGGGAGGACCAUCUCCUAAGGCUAAAUACUCUCUAGUGACCGAUAGUGAACCAGUACCGUGAGGGAAAGGUGAAAAGUACCCCGGAAGGGGAGUGAAAGAGAACUUGAAACCGUGUGCUUACAAGUAGUCAGAGCCCGUUAAUGGGUGAUGGCGUGCCUUUUGUAGAAUGAACCGGCGAGUUACGAUCUGAUGCAAGGUUAAGCAGCAAAUGUGGAGCCGCAGCGAAAGCGAGUCUGAAUAGGGCGUUGAGUAUUUGGUCGUAGACCCGAAACCAGGUGAUCUACCCUUGGUCAGGUUGAAGUUCAGGUAACACUGAAUGGAGGACCGAACCGACUUACGUUGAAAAGUGAGCGGAUGAACUGAGGGUAGCGGAGAAAUUCCAAUCGAACUUGGAGAUAGCUGGUUCUCUCCGAAAUAGCUUUAGGGCUAGCCUCAAGUGAUGAUUAUUGGAGGUAGAGCACUGUUUGGACGAGGGGCCCCUCUCGGGUUACCGAAUUCAGACAAACUCCGAAUGCCAAUUAAUUUAACUUGGGAGUCAGAACAUGGGUGAUAAGGUCCGUGUUCGAAAGGGAAACAGCCCAGACCACCAGCUAAGGUCCCAAAAUAUAUGUUAAGUGGAAAAGGAUGUGGCGUUGCCCAGACAACUAGGAUGUUGGCUUAGAAGCAGCCAUCAUUUAAAGAGUGCGUAAUAGCUCACUAGUCGAGUGACACUGCGCCGAAAAUGUACCGGGGCUAAACAUAUUACCGAAGCUGUGGAUUGUCCUUUGGACAAUGGUAGGAGAGCGUUCUAAGGGCGUCGAAGCAUGAUCGCAAGGACAUGUGGAGCGCUUAGAAGUGAGAAUGCCGGUGUGAGUAGCGAAAGACGGGUGAGAAUCCCGUCCACCGAUUGACUAAGGUUUCCAGAGGAAGGCUCGUCCGCUCUGGGUUAGUCGGGUCCUAAGCUGAGGCCGACAGGCGUAGGCGAUGGAUAACAGGUUGAUAUUCCUGUACCACCUAGUAUCGUUUUAAUCGAUGGGGGGACGCAGUAGGAUAGGCGAAGCGUGCUGUUGGAGUGCACGUCCAAGCAGUAAGGCUGAGUGUUAGGCAAAUCCGGCACUCAUAAGGCUGAGCUGUGAUGGGGAGAGGAAAUUGUUUCCUCGAGUCGCUGAUUUCACACUGCCGAGAAAAGCCUCUAGAUAGAUAACAGGUGCCCGUACCGCAAACCGACACAGGUAGUCAAGAUGAGAAUUCUAAGGUGAGCGAGCGAACUCUCGUUAAGGAACUCGGCAAAAUGACCCCGUAACUUCGGGAGAAGGGGUGCUCUUUAGGG